GGAAUAUUGGUCAAUGGACGCAAGUCUGAACCAGCUAUGCCGCGUGAAGGAUUAAGGUCCUCUGGAUUGUAAACUUCUUUUAUCUGGGACGAAAAAAGGUCUUUCUAGACCCCUUGACGGUACCAGAUGAAUAAGCACCGGCUAACUCCGUGCCAGCAGCCGCGGUAAUACGGAGGGUGCAAGCGUUAUCCGGAUUCACUGGGUUUAAAGGGUGCGUAGGCGGGUAGGUAAGUCAGUGGUGAAAUCCUGGAGCUCAACUCCAGAACUGCCAUUGAUACUAUCUAUCUUGAAUAUUGUGGAGGUAAGCGGAAUAUGUCAUGUAGCGGUGAAAUGCUUAGAUAUGACAUAGAACACCCAUUGCGAAGGCAGCUUACUACGCAUAUAUUGACGCUGAGGCACGAAAGCGUGGGGAUCAAACAGGAUUAGAUACCCUGGUAGUCCACGCCCUAAACGAUGGAUACUCGACAUACGCGAUACACUGUGUGUGUCUGAGCGAAAGCAUUAAGUAUCCCACCUGGGAAGUACGUUCGCAAGAAUGAAACUCAAAGGAAUUGACGG
rnacentral:rRNA from 1 species